CUGGCCUACGGGGGGCAGCAGUGAGGAAUAUUGGUCAAUGGGCGGGAGCCUGAACAAGCCAAGUCGCGUGAGGGAAGACGGUCCUAUGGAUUGUAAACCUCUUUAGGCGGGGAGCAAUGCCGGGCACGUGUGCCCGGAGGGAGAGUACCCGAAGAAUCAGCAUCGGCUAACUCCGUGCCAGCAGCCGCGGUAAUACGGAGGAUGCGAGCGUUAUCCGGAUUUAUUGGGUUUAAAGGGUCCGUAGGCGGAUUUUUAAGUCAGCGGUAAAAUGUCCGGGCUCAACCCGGGCC
rnacentral:rRNA from 1 species